CCAAGUCAACUGGCAGUAAUGAGAAAUCAAAUCACAGCUGUUUCCAACUCUAAAGCUCUCUGGGGCUGCUCUUGCUAGUUAUGAUAGCAGACAGCUUCAUCUCUUAGUCCUUGUUUCAGCUCACAUUAGGUAGCAGAUUCUAAAACCGCCAUGUUGAAUGGCUCCUGGCAAUGCCUCAUCACAGUGGGCCUUUCUGGCUUAGACCUCAUGCAAAUCAUCUGAUUGAUUGGCUGCCGUGUGCCGGAAGAUAUUCUACAAACUCAGCAGCAUUUUAUGGCAUCUGGCAAGGAAGACUUAUUGGACAGCCCACACAACCUGCCUCUUACUUCAUUUAUAUUUUUACACCCAAUAACCAAAGUCAUGUGAAAAACAGUGGCUCAGGUGGACAGUUGAACACUCCAAAUUCAGAAACAUGAUGUUUGGUACCAGUUGUAAUAAAGCCAUCAGAUCUUAGAAGUUAA